rnacentral:rRNA from 1 species
UGAGGAAUAUUGGUCAAUGGGCGUUAGCCUGAACCAGCCAAGUAGCGUGAAGGAUGAAGGCUCUAUGGGUCGUAAACUUCUUUUAUAUAAGAAUAAAGUGCAGUAUGUAUACUGUUUUGUAUGUAUUAUAUGAAUAAGGAUCGGCUAACUCCGUGCCAGCAGCCGCGGUAAUACGGAGGAUCCGAUCGUUAUCCGGAUUUAUUGGGUUUAAAGGGAGCGUAGGUGGACUGGUAAGUCAGUUGUGAAAGUUUGCGGCUCAACCGUAAAAUUGCAGUUGAUACUGUCAGUCUUGAGUACAGUAGAGGUGGGCGGAAUUCGUGGUGUAGCGGUGAAAUGCUUAGAUAUCACGAAGAACUCCGAUUGCGAAGGCAGCUCACUGGACUGCAACUGACACUGAUGCUCGAAAGUGUGGGUAUCAAACAGG